rnacentral:rRNA from 1 species
UGGGGAAUUUUGGACAAUGGGCGAAAGCCUGAUCCAGCAAUGCCGCGUGUGUGAAGAAGGCCUUCGGGUUGUAAAGCACUUUUGUCCGGAAAGAAAUCCUUGGCUCUAAUACAGUCGGGGGAUGACGGUACCGGAAGAAUAAGCACCGGCUAACUACGUGCCAGCAGCCGCGGUAAUACGUAGGGUGCAAGCGUUAAUCGGAAUUACUGGGCGUAAAGCGUGCGCAGGCGGUUUGCUAAGACCGAUGUGAAAUCCCCGGGCUCAACCUGGGAACUGCAUUGGUGACUGGCAGGCUAGAGUAUGGCAGAGGGGGGUAGAAUUCCACGUGUAGCAGUGAAAUGCGUAGAGAUGUGGAGGAAUACCGAUGGCGAAGGCAGCCCCCUGGGCCAAUACUGACGCUCAUGCACGAAAGCGUGGGGAGCAAAACAGGAUUAGAUACCCUGGUAGUCCACGCCCUAAAACGAUGUCAACUAGUUGUUGGGGAUUCAUUUCCUUAGUAACGUAGCUAACGCGUGAAGUUGACCGCCUGGGGAGUACGGUCGCAAGAUUAAAACUUAAAGGAAUUGAUCGGGGUCAUAGCUGUUUCCU